rnacentral:rRNA from 1 species
UGAGUAACCUGCCCUUAACUCUGGGAUAAGCCUGGGAAACUGGGUCUAAUACCGGAUAUGACUCCUCAUCGCAUGGUGGGGGGUGGAAAGCUUUUUUGUGGUUUUUGGAUGGACUCGCGGCCUAUCAGCUUGUUGGUGAGGUAAUGGCUCACCAAGGCGACGACGGGUAGCCGGCCUGAGAGGGUGACCGGCCACACUGGGACUGAGACACGGCCCAGACUCCGUACGGGAGGCAG